CAUUAGUGUAUAUUAAAGUUGUUGCGGUUAAAAGCUCGUAGUUGGAUUUCUGUCGGGGAUGGCCGGUCCGGUCUAAGACUGUGUAUCAGGUCCAGCCUUGGCAUCCUCGUAUUCUUGCGAUCAUUAAUUUGGUUGUGGGUGUGCGACUUUUACUUUGAGGAAAUUAGAGUGUUCACGGCAGGCUUUCGCCCUGAAUAUAUUAGCAUGGAAUAAUGGAAUAGGACCUCGGUUCUAUUUUGUUGGUUUUCGGAACUUGAGGUAAUGAUUAAGAGGGACAGACGGGGGCAUUCGUAUGAUGGUGUUAGAGGUGAAAUUCUUGGAUCGCCGUCAGACGAACUACUGCGAAAGCAUUUGCCAAGAAUGUUUUCAUUAAUCAAGAACGAAAGUCAGAGGUUCGAAGAUGAUUAGAUACCAU
rnacentral:rRNA from 1 species